UGGCGGCGUGCUUAACACAUGCAAGUCGAGCGGUAAGGCUCCUUCGGGAGUACACGAGCGGCGAACGGGUGAGUAACACGUGAGCAACCUGCCCUUCUCAUCGGAAUAAGCGUUGGAAACGACGUCUAAUGCCGAAUAUGACUUCGGAAGGCAUCUUCUGAAGUGGAAAGCUCCGGCGGAGAAGGAUGGGCUCGCGGCCUAUCAGCUAGUUGGUGAGGUAACGGCCCACCAAGGCAACGACGGGUAGCCGGCCUGAGAGGGUGACCGGCCACACUGGGACUGAGACACGGCCCAGACUCCUACGGGAGGCAGCAGUGGGGAAUAUUGGACAAUGGGCGCAAGCCUGAUCCAGCAACGCCGCGUGAGGGAUGACGGCCUUCGGGUUGUAAACCUCUUUCAGCAGGGACGAAGCGAAAGUGACGGUACCUGCAGAAGAAGGACCGGCCAACUACGUGCCAGCAGCCGCGGUAAUACGUAGGGUCCGAGCGUUGUCCGGAAUUAUUGGGCGUAAAGGGCUCGUAGGCGGUUUGUCGCGUCGGGAGUGAAAACUCAGGGCUCAACCCUGAGCGUGCUUCCGAUACGGGCAGACUAGAGGUAUGCAGGGGAGAACGGAAUUCCUGGUGUAGCGGUGGAAUGCGCAGAUAUCAGGAGGAACACCGGU
rnacentral:rRNA from 1 species